CACUGCAGCCCCUUGCUACCAUCACUCUACUUUCUCUGUAUGAACUUGCCUGUUACAGGCACCCUAUGAGCGGUCUCUGCUUCUGUCUCAGGAGGAGGCGCACCCUGCCCCCUUGUGAGGGCCUCAGGGGUGAAAAAUCAGGACCCACCCCAUGUGAGAAAUAACCCGAGCUCUCAGCAAUGUGGAAAGAAACUGGCCAGCAACCUGGGGUAAAGGAUCCUCCAUAAUGGCCACUAAAGUCUGCACAUGGACCGAGGAAAAGACACUGCAGGAGCUGGUAAAGUAUUUCCUUGUUGGUUGGGACCAAG
rnacentral:lncRNA from 10 species